AAAGCCUUAGCUUAAUUAAAGUAUUUAAGUUGCAUUUAUGGGAUGUAGGAUAAAGGCCUGCAGGCUUUA
rnacentral:tRNA from 1 species